AUAUCUCUCCGUACGGGAAGGAUGAGAAGCUUCGACUAAGGUUCGAUUCGAGCGCAGCGAGAACGCG
rnacentral:sRNA from 6 species